rnacentral:rRNA from 1 species
AUUGAACGCUAGCGGGAUGCCUUACACAUGCAAGUCGAACGGAAUGGCGAACGAGUGAGUAAUGUAUCGGAACGUGCCCAGUAGCGGGUGAUCACUACGCGAAAGCGUAGCUAAUACCGCAUACUAUUGGAGCGGCCGAUAUCGGAUUAGCUAGUUGGUGGGGUAACGGCUCACCAAGGCGACGAUCCGUAGCUGGUAUGAGAGGACGACCGUCCACACUGGGACUGAGACACGGCCCAGACUCCUACGGGAGGCAGCAGGGGGGAAUUUUGGACAAUGGGGGAAACCCUGAUCCAGCCAUCCCGCGUGUGCGAUGAAGGCCUUCGGGUUGUAAAGCACUUUUGGCAGGAAAGCGGUACCUGCAGAGUAAGCACCGGCUAACUACGUGCCAGCAGCCGCGGUAAUAC